UGGGGAAUAUUGCACAAUGGGCGAAAGCCUGAUGCAGCGACGCCGCGUGAGUGAAGAAGUAUUUCGGUACGUAAAGCUCUAUCAGCAAGGAAGAUAAUGACGGUACUUGACUAAGAAGCCCCGGCUAACUACGUGCCAGCAGCCGCGGUAAUACGUAGGGGGCAAGCGUUAUCCGGAUUUACUGGGUGUAAAGGGAGCGUAGACGGCAUGGCAAGUCUGAUGUGAAAGACCGGGGCUCAACCCCGGAGCUGCAUUGGAAACUGUCAGGCUAGAGUGCAGGAGAGGUAAGUGGAAUUCCUAGUGUAGCGGUGGAAUGCGUAGAUAUUAGGAGGAACACCGGUGGCGAAGGCGGCUUUCUGGACUGUAACUGACGCUGAGGCACGAAAGCGUGGGGAGCAAACAGGAUUAGAUACCCUGGUAGU
rnacentral:rRNA from 1 species